AAAGUCUCAAUGCUUAAGCCUAUAUAAAUAGUGUUUCAAGCUGUCUGUAAAUAGUUAUUGGAGCAGAUUCAACCAGUUAACACCACGUGGAACCACAAAAGACAUUAUCAACGAAAAGCUAAUUUCCUUUUCAAAAAUGUUGAAAUAUAUUUGUUUUGCCACUAUUUUCAUUGUGACCAUGGUCAUCCUCCAAGCCUCCGCAUCGGAUCAAUUAGAAACGGAUCCGGAUUACCCAGACAUCGAUAUACGCUAAGAUUGUUAUGAAAUAUUGCAAGUUUAAAGAUGAAAAAUCUUGACAUGAAAAGGCGUUUCCAUCUGUUCGUCAAUCUAUCCGUCUGUCCAUAUGAACGCGGAAAUCUUCUGAACUAUAAAAGUAUGAAGCAAACAUAUUCUAGAGAUACCUGCGACUCAAGGUGCCCACAACCCGAAGCUGUGACGUCUCUGAUAUUAAGGUCAAAGUUAUGGAUUGUAGACUCUCUCUCUAUCGAAUCACAAAUUAUUAAGAAUUUAAAGAAGAAGGUCUUACAGGAACAGUUGCAUCACUAUCAAUUAAUAAACUGCCAUAUGUGAUAUGAGCAACAGAUUUAACCAGUAAUUAAUUAGCAGACUCUUCUUCGAAAUUAUUUUAGACUAAGCGAAUUGGUAAACCCUGAGUUACACUUUCGAUUAACAAAAAGUUAUAUUUCAAAGCAGUUGAUAAAGUUCUUAGAAAUGUAAUGUUUGCUCAGAUUUGUCUCUAUAUAAAAACAUUCUUCCUUAAGUCUGUUAAGUUUAUAAGUAAGAAAAUAUAAAAGUCAAAUUUCGAAGCACUCUA